rnacentral:rRNA from 1 species
AUAAUGGGUCAGCGACUUAUAUUCUGUAGCAAGGUUAACCGAAUAGGGGAGCCGAAGGGAAACCGAGUCUUAACUGGGCGUUAAGUUGCAGGGUAUAGACCCGAAACCCGGUGAUCUAGCCAUGGGCAGGUUGAAGGUUGGGUAACACUAACUGGAGGACCGAACCGACUAAUGUUGAAAAAUUAGCGGAUGACUUGUGGCUGGGGGUGAAAGGCCAAUCAAACCGGGAGAUAGCUGGUUCUCCCCGAAAGCUAUUUAGGUAGCGCCUCGUGAAUUCAUCUCCGGGGGUAGAGCACUGUUUCGGCAAGGGGGUCAUCCCGACUUACCAACCCGAUGCAAACUGCGAAUACCGGAGAAUGUUAUCACGGGAGACACACGGCGGGUGCUAACGUCCGUCGUGAAGAGGGAAACAACCCAGACCGCCAGCUAAGGUCCCAAAGUCAUGGUUAAGUGGGAAACGAUGUGGGAAGGCCCAGACAGCCAGGAUGUUGGCUUAGAAGCAGCCAUCAUUUAAAGAAAGCGUAAUAGCUCACUGGUCGAGUCGGCCUGCGCGGAAGAUGUAACGGGGCUAAACCAUGCACCGAAGCUGCGGCAGCGACGCUGAUGCGUUGUUGGGUAGGGGAGCGUUCUGUAAGCCUGUGAAGGUGUGCUGUGAGGCAUGCUGGAGGUAUCAGAAGUGCGAAUGCUGACAUAAGUAACGAUAAAGCGGGUGAAAAGCCCGCUCGCCGGAAGACCAAGGGUUCCUGUCCAACGUUAAUCGGGGCAGGGUGAGUCGACCCCUAAGGCGAGGCCGAAAGGCGUAGUCGAUGGGAAACAGGUUAAUAUUCCUGUACUUGGUGUUACUGCGAAGGGGGGACGGAGAAGGCUAUGUUGGCCGGGCGACGGUUGUCCCGGUUUAAGCGUGUAGGCUGGUUUUCCAGGCAAAUCCGGAAAAUCAAGGCUGAGGCGUGAUGACGAGGCACUACGGUGCUGAAGCAACAAAUGCCCUGCUUCCAGGAAAAGCCUCUAAGCAUCAGGUAACAUCAAAUCGUACCCCAAACCGACACAGGUGGUCAGGUAGAGAAUACCAAGGCGCUUGAGAGAACUCGGGUGAAGGAACUAGGCAAAAUGGUGCCGUAACUUCGGGAGAAGGCACGCUGAUAUGUAGGUGAAGUCCCUCGCGGAUGGAGCUGAAAUCAGUCGAAGAUACCAGCUGGCUGCAACUGUUUAUUAAAAACACAGCACUGUGCAAACACGAAAGUGGACGUAUACGGUGUGACGCCUGCCCGGUGCCGGAAGGUUAAUUGAUGGGGUCAGCGCAAGCGAAGCUCUUGAUCGAAGCCCCGGUAAACGGCGGCCGUAACUAUAACGGUCCUAAGGUAGCGAAAUUCCUUGUCGGGUAAGUUCCGACCUGCACGAAUGGCGUAAUGAUGGCCAGGCUGUCUCCACCCGAGACUCAGUGAAAUUGAACUCGCUGUGAAGAUGCAGUGUACCCGCGGCAAGACGGAAAGACCCCGUGAACCUUUACUAUAGCUUGACACUGAACAUUGAGCCUUGAUGUGUAGGAUAGGUGGGAGGCUUUGAAGUGUGGACGCCAGUCUGCAUGGAGCCGGCCUUGAAAUACCACCCUUUAAUGUUUGAUGUUCUAACGUUGACCCGUGAUCCGGGUUGCGGACAGUGUCUGGUGGGUAGUUUGACUGGGGCGGUCUCCUCCUAAAGAGUAACGGAGGAGCACGAAGGUUGGCUAAUCCUGGUCGGACAUCAGGAGGUUAGUGCAAUGGCAUAAGCCAGCUUGACUGCGAGCGUGACGGCGCGAGCAGGUGCGAAAGCAGGUCAUAGUGAUCCGGUGGUUCUGAAUGGAAGGGCCAUCGCUCAACGGAUAAAAGGUACUCCGGGGAUAACAGGCUGAUACCGCCCAAGAGUUCAUAUCGACGGCGGUGUUUGGCACCUCGAUGUCGGCUCAUCACAUCCUGGGGCUGAAGUAGGUCCCAAGGGUAUGGCUGUUCGCCAUUUAAAGUGGUACGCGAGCUGGGUUUAGAACGUCGUGAGACAGUUCGGUCCCUAUCUGCCGUGGGCGCUGGAG